rnacentral:rRNA from 1 species
UACGGAGGGGGCAAGCGUUGUUCGGAAUUACUGGGCGUAAAGCGCACGUAGGCGGAUUGUUAAGUCGGGGGUGAAAUCCCGUGGCUCAACCCCGGAAUGGCCUCCGAUACUGACAAUCUUGAGGUCGGGAGAGGUGAGUGGAAUGGCGAGUGUAGAGGUGAAAUUCGUAGAUAUUCGCCGGAACACCAGUGGCGAAGGCGGCUCACUGGCCCGAUACUGACGCUGAGGUGCGACAGCGUGGGGAGCAAACAGG